rnacentral:lncRNA from 1 species
UCUCAGGUAAUCACUAAAAGAAUAAUAAAUGAGUUUAUGACUUCUAGAAUGAUUUCUAAGCUGACAGAAAACAAUAAAAGGAUUUUUUAAAUACCCCAUCAAUCCAAAAGAAGGCAAGAAAAGAAUCAUACAAUUGAUAAUAACAGAAAGCAUACAAGACAUUAGAUUUAAACCCAAAGAUAAAGCAAAAACAAAAUAAAGUGAUUUCAAUAUCCCUGAAUUUGUGUUUCACAUAUAUUCACGUAAAUAAAAUCCUUUCCAACCUUUAGCCUCUCCCUUAGACUAUCUCGUUCUGUGGUCAUUCUUCGUAAAUCAGUGAAGGCUACAUCUCUUUCAGUCUCCACUCGCCGGAGAAUAGCAUGUGCCGUUGUUGAUUUAGGACUCUUACAGCUUUUCAUCAUUUCUCGUCGAAGUCGGGUAAUUUCU